UGUGUUUACAGUAAAUAUACUUACAAUGGAGGUCUAUGGGACAAACACUUGCUCCCUAUGUCCAGUUCCAAAUUACUCACCAAGUGGCAAGGGCCCUUUGAGGUCACACGGCAAGUCUGGGAUCUCAAGUCAAACAGACAGGAGUGGGGCACGUCAAAUAUAUUGCCUCAACCAAAAAAAUUGAGCGAGUCAGUGACGCUAGCGACGGUGGGGAGGAAGAUUUCGGGCCAGAAGUGAGCACCAAAUUCCAAUCUCUCGCUCUGGCCCCAGGAGGAGAUCACCUCUCGUCCUCGCAACUCACUGAUGUAGGCAGGUUGCAAGCCGAAUUUGCAGAUGUGUUCUCGCCCCAGCCUGGCUGAACGAACCUGAUUCAGCACCAUACUGAGACCAUGCCGGGUGUGGUGGUUCGCAGCCGGCCAUAUUGUCUACCUGAACAGGUGGUUCAGACUGAAUUAGAGGCGAUGCUAGACAUGGAUUUAAUAGAAGAAUCCCACAGUAAAUCGGUGAGCCCGAUAUUUUAAGUGCCUAAAACUGACGGCGCCGUGAGAUUCUGCGUGGAUUAUCACAAGCUAAAUGCUGUGUUUCGAAAUUCGACACACAUCCAAUGCCGUGGGUUGACGAAUUGCUUGAUUGGCUGGGUACAGCUCGUUUUUAUUCGACACUAGAUUUAACUAAAGGGUAUUGGCAGAUCCUUUUAUUGCCUAUAUCCAAAAAAAAAAAAAAAAAAAAAUCCUUCACAACACCGUUUGGAUUGCAACAAUUUGUUUUGGGUUGCUCGGGGCACCGGCCACUUUUCAGCAUCUCAUGGACAGGAUUCUCUGGCCGCAUGCUGCACAGAUGGCAGCAGUUGCAACCUGCCUGAGACCCUAGACCAAAAAGGACGUAAGGAAGUUCCUGGGGCUGGCGGGAUAUUACAGAAGGUUUGUGCCUAAUUAUUCGGACCUCAACAGGCCGCUGACUGAGCUGACUAAAACGGAAGCGCCAGAUCUGGUCCAGUGGAUAGAGCUGUGUCAGCAGGCUUUCACCCAAGUAAAUCCUGCUCUGUGUGGUGGGCCGCUAUUACACUCUCCUGAUUUUCUCUCCCUUUUCUGUUGCAGACUGACGCAUCAGACAGAGGGCUUGGAGUGGUCCUGUCCCAAGAGUUAGAGGAGCAUCCGGUGUCGCAAGCUCUCUAAGAGAGAGAUAAAGUACAGCACCAUCGAAAAAAUGUUUAGCGAUUAGAUGGGCUGAUCUCACCCUCUGCUUUUAUCUCCUGGAAUGGGAAUUCACCCUCUGUUCAGACCAUGCGCCCCUGCAGCGGGAGAAAUGGGAACACAUGGGCACCACGAUGUGACUGCAAAGGGCACUUUUACUUUCACGAUCAAAGGGGCAGAGGCUCAAUGACCCCCCCCCGGCACGCCACUGGUGGGCGUUUGUGCCAAGGGGAACGUGGUUCAGCGAGGUCUUCAGUGGGAGAGAGAGUCAGGAGAUGAGUGGUGAGUAAGCAGGUCAAGUGCAAAAUGACAAACACCUGUGUUUUGUUGCAGUAAUUGGCAUGGAGAGACCGGAUAAGAGCCACCGGAAAACAGAAAGAAACUGAGAAAGACUGGACUGAGGACUCAUGCUGUGGCUGCCUGUUUGAACCUGUGAUACUGCUGAAUGAGAAACCGCUGUCUAUUUUUCAGAAGUUUAUUAAGAGCGCAGAGAGCUGUCUCUUGAGUUUUCUUCAGUUGAGCCAGAGCUCUAUACAGAGAGUUCACAUUCACACCAGAGUCAAUCCUGAUCUCAGUCCAGUUCUUGUUGUGUGGACGAAUGUACAGGGAUGAGCACAUCUACAGCAGCUUACAGCAGCUCAUCAUGUUUGUGAACAGAGAGUUUGUCCUGUAAUGUUGUACAUGAUGACUGAUGAGACAGAUGUUCACAGACCUGUAUGACAUGGAGAUGAUCGUCAGUGUGUGAGAGCUGCUCCAGCUCAGUGUUUCUC